CCACUGGGUUGUAACGUCUCAGGCCCUGCAACCCCUUCUAUUUUCCACGACCUCUUGGCAGAUUGAGGGCUGUCCUUGUUCAGACCCUUGCCUAAGGAGUGAGCAGGCAUCUCAGGCUCCUGUGGCUGCACCUGAACUGCAUUGAGUUCCUGUAUGUGAAGAGCAAGAGAGGAAAUCGGGCCUGCGCCUCCUUACAAGGCAUCACGCAACCCCCCACACAGGAAAGCUUUCUCCUGCCGAGAACCAGCGUGACGAUCUCAUGAGGUCCUUGUCUUAAAAUGAAAGCAGUUUCACAGCUGGUAAUGAUUGUGCAGCCGGAUCCCCAUGCGGGACUCCUAAAUCGGGAGCAGGGGCUGUCUCCGACUACACUGCCUGCCUUUGGGUCCCUUCCCCUAACUGGGCUGCCUGGUCUGGCCUCAGUAGAAGUAAUGCCUAGUCUUACUUCGACUUAAUAUGCCAAGGCUGGCUGAUAUCCAUGGGAGACCUCCCCUUUUCUGAGGAGAAGGGAAGAAGGGAAGGGGAGAGGGGGAAAUGGAAGGUGAAGCUGCGAUCCAGAUGUAAAUGAGUUACUUAAUAAAAAAGAAAGAAGAGAGGCUGCAUUUUUAGAGA
rnacentral:lncRNA from 1 species